GCAGCAGGCGCGAAAACUUUACAAUGCUGGCAACAGCGAUAAGGGGACCUCGAGUGCCAGGAUACAAUCUUGGCUGUCGUGAUGCCUAAAAAGCAUUACAUAGCAAGGGCCGGGCAAGACCGGUGCCAGCCGCCGCGGUAACACCGGCGGCUCGAGUGGUAACCGCUAUUAUUGGGUCUAAAGGGUCUGUAGCCGGCCGGAUAAGUCUCUUGGGAAAUCCAGCAGCUCAACUGUUGGGCUUCCAGGGGAUACUGUUCGGCUCGAGGCCGGGAGAGGUGAGAGGUACUUCAGGGGUAGGGGUGAAAUCUUGUAAUCCUUGAAGGACCACCAGUGGCGAAGGCGUCUCACCAGAACGGUCCUGACGGCAAGGGACGAAAGCUAGGGGCACGAACCGGAUUAGAUACCCGGGUAGUCCUAGCCGUAAACGAUACUCGCUAGGUGUCAGCCACGGUGCGACCGUGGUUGGUGCCGUAGGGAAGCCGUGAAGCGAGCCACCUGGGAAGUACGGCCGCAAGGCUGAAACUUAAAGGAAUUGGCGGGGGAGCAC
rnacentral:rRNA from 1 species